CGGCGACAGCGGGGUGAGUGAGGUCGGGCCCCGGGACUCGGGGUUUGCCGGGCGCCUCAGUUCGCCGCGGCCG
ensembl:miRNA